UCAGUAUGUAACCAGAUGCUCCGCAGGGCGUAGCUUUAUACGACCGCAGAGGUUGAACCCUGAACGGUUGGGGAAAGUAUGGACACAACAUUCAAGCUGGAUUCAGCUCUAAAUUUGGAUUGUGAUUAAAUAGUUGACACAGCAUAGGUUUCUGACACAGAAUGAAUGUGUUCUAAUGAACUUAAAAUUUUUGUUUUCUCUUAGAGCAAUUCACUAUGCUGUUGAAUAUUAAUCCUCUCAAAAAAAUGUUUGAAGAAAUUUUCUUUUUUAUUUAUGAAAUUUCAAAUGAGAAAAAUUGAACCCAAUUUUUUUAAUCACAUCCCCCUUUCC
rnacentral:lncRNA from 1 species